rnacentral:ncRNA from 1 species
UUUUGAUAUUCUAUUCAGAAUUCAGAUGAAAAGGGAAUCGGGUGUAAAUCCCGGACAGACCACGCUGCUGUAAAACUUCGUAAACAUCGGGCAUUACCUUUAGCCACUAUUCUUCGCCGAAGGAUGGGAAGGCGCCACGAGCCGGGAGUAAGUCAGAAGACCUGCCAUUUUAUGU